UACAACUUAAAAAGACUGCACAAUUAUAUCAUCAUCAACAAGAGCACUAGAUAUUUUAUAAACCUUUAGCAGAACAGCUGAACUUCUAGGUUUAUAAAUUCGAAGCGAAUGUGUUGAGCAUCUACAAUCUCACCAUUCAUCAAUAGAGUAAGAUAGGUUGGUAUUAGGAUAAAUGUAAAAACUAAUUUGCCCCUUCCUAUAUACCUAAUUACCAAAUUUAAAACCAAGACACGAGAAUUACUUGGGAAAAAAACCAUCAAGACAAAGCAAUAGUACAUUCUAAACACGAUCACAGUAUAAUUACCACAAACAAUCACUACACAAUUGUUAAUAGUGCGAUAUUACAAAAAACAUGAAUGAGUAUACCAAUCAAGCAUUUAUACCAAAUGCGGAACACUAACAAGAAACUAAACGGGGCUAUAACCUCCUCUAGGACUAUCAACAACCGAAAGCAACGGGCCAUAGGGAGACUCCAUAUCAUCCCCCUCCUCGGGAGCUCUCAACGCGCCAUGAACACACGCCACAACGCCCCCAAUUAAACACGCCACAAACACAUUCCACCAAACCCUAGUCAACACCAAGCCCACAAAAGUUAUCAAACACAGAAAAAUCAACACAAUCCACUCAUCAAAAACCCAAUUGAACAACAGCAGGGGCUCAGCGCGGAGCAAAUAGAGAUAGAGCCAAGCAGCAAGUAUGAUUAGGAAGGUGAUGAUUGAAAAGGGGUGGUAGAUUAGGGAGAAAAAGAGGAUUAUGAGGGUGAUUAGAGUGUAAUUAAAGCGGAAAAAGUGGAGGUUUUUUCGGAUGCGGAAAGUGGAUUCGGAGAAGGAGAGGGGGAGGCUGAGGGCGGAGAUGUCUAGGAAAUCGUGCCAGGGGCGGGUGAGGGUGGCGAGGGNNNNNNNNNNNNNNNNNNNNNNNNNNNNNNNNNNNNNNNNNNNNNNNNNNUCAAACACAGAAAAAUCAACACAAUCCACUCAUCAAAAACCCAAUUGAACAACAGCAGGGGCUCAGCGCGGAGCAAAUAGAGAUAGAGCCAAGCAGCAAGUAUGAUUAGGAAGGUGAUGAUUGAAAAGGGGUGGUAGAUUAGGGAGAAAAAGAGGAUUAUGAGGGUGAUUAGAGUGUAAUUAAAGCGGAAAAAGUGGAGGUUUUUUCGGAUGCGGAAAGUGGAUUCGGAGAAGGAGAGGGGGAGGCUGAGGGCGGAGAUGUCUAGGAAAUCGUGCCAGGGGCGGGUGAGGGUGGCGAGGGAGGGGGUGGGGGGUGGUGUUGACAUGCUUUGCUGGGGAGUGUUUUGGUGUGUGUGAAUUGUAUUUGGUGGCCUGGACUCUGGAGAAUAAAUCAACGCUAAGUUAAAUCAUACCUUUCACUCCUUCGGUUCAUUA
rnacentral:lncRNA from 1 species